rnacentral:rRNA from 1 species
GAACACUGGCGGCGUGGUUAAGACAUGCAAGUCGAACGGGAUUAACGGUGUAGCAAUACAUCGUUGAUUCAGUGGCGAACGGGUGCGUAACACGUGAACAAUCUACCUCCAAGAGGGGAAUAGCUCGCCGAAAGGCGAAUUAAUACCCCAUACAGUUGCCUCUCGCAUGAGGGGCAUACCAAAGUCGGGGACCGCAAGGCCUGACGCUAGGAGAGGAGUUCGCGGCCUAUCAGCUAGUUGGCGAGGUAACGGCUCACCAAGGCUAACACGGGUAGCUGGUCUGAGAGGAUGAUCAGCCACACUGGAACUGAGACACGGUCCAGACACCUACGGGUGGAAGCAGUUUCGAAUCAUUCACAAUGGGCGAAAGCCUGUUGGUGCGACGCCGCGUGAGGGAUGAAGGUCUUCGGAUUGUAAACCUCUGUCACUGGGGAAGAAACGCUUCAAGUUAACAGCUUGAAGCCUGACUUAACCCGGGGAGGAAGCAGUGGCUAACUCUGUGCCAGCAGCCGCGGUAAUACAGAGACUGCAAGCGUUAUUCGGAUUCACUGGGCGUAAAGGGUGCGCAGGUGGCCAAGUGUGUGAGGCGUGAAAGCCCGGAGCUCAACUCCGGAAUUGCACCUCAAACUACAUGGCUAGAGCAUUGGAGAGGGGAGCAGAAUUCACGGUGUAGCAGUGAAAUGCGUAG